GUGAAAAAAGUUGCAUUUUAAGCCCCAAAUGGAACUUUAGAACCCAUUUAGAACCCGUUUAGAAUUUUAGAAUCGCGUUCCAAUUCGGGGGUUCGAUGACCCCCGGGUGAACGACCGCGCGGCCUUUGGAACACGCCAUCCAGGCGGGAGGGGUAGGGAGAAUAAAACACCACACCAAAGAGCACUUAGAGAGAGAGAUGAGAAGCGUCAUUCGAGAUACGGUCACUAUUUCGAUUUUAUUUACGGGAAAGCACAUUCUUCUAGUGAAGGUGGGUGAUCUUGCACCAAGGUGAAGCCGCCGGUGGUGUCCAGUCCCCCCAGAUACAUCGAAACCAUGGCGUCUCCUGCCGUGGACAUACGCCGCAACCAGCUUGAGAGAUGCCCGCCAACUUCCACGGGUCAAGCAGUUAGAAGAUCCUGCACAGAACAUACAGCAGAUUGGACCUCAUGUAAGGAAGGAAGCAGAGCUUGGUCCAGAAGAAACUGACUGGAGAGGAACAGGACUGACCUGGACCCAGCCAUCCACAGAACGAUACAGCAGAUUGUGACCAUUUCUAAAAACACUUGUACCAUUCUGAUUUCUUUCCAGUACGUAAAUAUUAGAUACGUAUGUUAAGUUGCAUAGUAUAUGUAAGAAAUGUAUAUUUUUUUCAAUAUGUAUGUAUAGCUUCGCAGUGUAUGGAAAAAUUAUGUAUGGCUUUAUAGUAUAUGUUACAGGUUUGUUUUAUGUAUUAUGCAUGUUUAGUUUUGUAGUACUUUAUACAUGUAUAAGCCAUGUAUAGUCUCCAUUUUUUGCAACUAGAGUUUAAAAUGUAUAAAAUCUCAUCAUAAUUAUUAUCUACAUACCUGCAAUAAGAUUGUCAAAUAAAAGUUAAGUGCCAUAUUUAAGUAAAAUGCUGUUCAAAUUCGUACUUGUAAUUUUCAAUAGCGUAACAAGAUUGUAAGACAACUGUAAGGUUUCAAAUUGUUUAAUUA